rnacentral:lncRNA from 1 species
CAAAAUCAGGAAACAAAAACUUCAAAUAGAUACAUAUUUUUAACACUAUUUCUAUCGUAGUCAGUUCUGGCGCGGAGUUGCGCUUAGUGGCGCAGAGGUGUUAUUAUUUCUGUUCUGUAUGUAUUUUUGUAUGGGAAUGAAUGUUGUGGUGAUUGUUUUCUUUUUAUAUCUAUUGUAUGGGUGAAAAUUUAAGCUUUUAAGAGUAUCUCGAAGAGUCUUCGGAAUUCGGAAGCUAUCUUUGGCAGCGCAAAACUGUUGGUCGGAAAACGGAGAGGCGGCGGCAGCCUGUGGGACUUCCCAGCGCUGAUCGGAGGAUGCAGCGGCGUGGGCUGUAUAUAUCCCAGCGCUGGUCGGCGGACGCGACAGCGGCGGGCUGUGUGACGUCCAGCGCUGGACGGAGGACGCGGCGGCGCGGGCGCCGUCGGAUGUCCAAGUGCUGGAUGGAGGAGGCGUGGCAGGUUGCUGUGCAGACAUCAGUGGCACUGACCUCGAAAAGCGGUGCCCGCGUGUACAUAAUGUGUGCUUGUAUAAAUACAUUUGGUACAGAUUA